GGGGGAGGAGGGAAAGGGGAGGAGGGAAAGGGGGAGGAGGGAAAGGGGAGGAGGGAAAGGGGGAGGAGGGAAAGAGGAGGAGAAGGAAACAGUUUGGUUUUACAGAUGCAAUAAAAAAACAGGCAACAGCCAUUGUCUACAUAACGAAAUGAAGAGGCUACUGCCCCCCUCGUUCAUACUGUAAAAAAGGCACUGCAAGGCAGGGUAGUGCCUCUGCAACAGCAAACCAUACCGACCAAUGAAGCCGAGAAAUCAAAUCAUUUCUGUAUCUCAUCACUUCUGAACAGAUUCGUGCAAAGGUAACCUUGCAAUGCUAAUCUAAUUAGCUGAUUCCAGAAAGUUGUUUGAUGACAUGCAAAUAGAAAUUGUGGGAUUUGAGUGAAUCAAAGAGAAUUACCAGCUAACGCCAUCUGCCCCAGUGAAGAGAAUUAGUGUAUGUGUACACGAAAAAGGUAGUUUACAAUAAAACAGUACAUAAGAUUAUCAAUCAUGCAGUUCUAUAAAUAUGAUUAUAAGAAUAGAUUUCAACAUCAACUGGUCGAAUGAUGUUCAAGAAAAGUUCACAGACUUGUUUGGUAGCCAUGUGAAAAGUUCAUAGACAUUCCACGUAAAGUAUACAGAGUAGCAACAUCUGAAAAAUUCUGAAGCAACUCUAUUUCGAAAGUAUAAGCAACAAAACUUGAGUUGGCAGGUCUCAUAACUUGCUGUUAUUUUGAUAGCAGCACAUGUUCACAAAAAUGAGGUUGAAAAAAUUGACCAAUAUGUUUAGUUUCAACUUUAUAUUCGGUCUCUGACAUCUUAAAUAUCACUAAUCUACUUCCUAUAUGACACCAUAUUUACUUGCUUUUUACGUUAAGGCCAGACUGCACAAACAAACAGUUCUAUCAAACAUGAUCAAACAUUGUAAUACAAAUGUUGGGUGAUGCUUUAGGAAUAUCACACUUUGUCAUGCGUCAUCAAACAACAUCGCUCAAACGCCUGAUGAUAUUUAACAAAAGCUCCGUGCCAUAGCACUGUAAAUCGGCCGAAAGAUCAAUCCUUCGUAGCACAUGGACGCUAUGUAUCCUUCAAGAGCAUUUUAAGCUGCCAUAAUCACUGAUGUUACUCUAGGGAGAAUUAAAGGAUGAUCUAGAAAACUGUAGCCAAGGUGUGGACAAAGGACACGUAUCUUCCACAACCUAUUGAGUGAAUUUCAACAACUAAAUUUGACAAGACUACCUUUGAGAAAAGAUUACCACAUGCAAAAAGUAGAGAUAUAGGAGUAAAAACAAAACAAACUGGUGAGUCAUUUUCGAUUAUGUCUGGCAAAAACAAGUCAAACAGUUGGCAGACAAAAAAAACAAUUUCUAGGUUUAAGUUGUUAGGAGUAUCGAUUUCCUUUUGUCUUUGAAAAAAAACUUAUCCUGAUCACUAGUGUUGGAAAAAUGCUGCACUGAAAAUCAAGACCCUUAAAGGUAUUGUAACAUUCAGACCUUUUUAUUAGGAAUUGAAAGGAUAUAAUUAUAAAUAAAAAUCUGGUGGCAAUACAGUUUCCAGCCAGAUUCUAAAAUCUUAUUGAAUUUGAAGUUAUUUUGGAUUGGAUUGAAAUUACAAAUACGCGGAUUGGGCCUCCGACCAAACCACAGCUUACUUUGGCUUGAAGUAUAAUAUUAACUUUUAUUAAAAGUUGAAAAGAACAAUUCUAAAUGAAAAGAGGUUUACACAUUUUUUUUCAAGAAACCCCAAACUAAUGCAGCACCUCAAAUUCUCAAUUUUUUCAUUAUGAGCAAAGAAUCACCCUAAAUUUUUUCUUAGUUGACCAAACUUAAAAAAUCACUUCUUUAAAAAAUCCCCAUCCCAAAUCUUUUUAUUAACUUUGAGACAUAUUUUUUUCUUCCUGUAUAACUGAAGCACAAAUUGUGAUUCUGAAAACCUUUUCUUUCUAUUAACAAGAACUCAUCUUUGUCUAUGAGUCACACAACCAGGUUGUGACAAUCAUGCCUAACUGUCCGACUGCAAAUUUUUGUCUCACCAGAUAUUCAAACAAAAUCAAACUGAUUUUACUUUUCUAAAGGUUUUCUUAUCUCUUUAGAUAUCCUUUGGAUUAUAUUAUGAACAUUUUUUCAUGUUUCAUGAGACCUUUUUACUUCAUUAUCUGAUCAGACAUUCUAUUAAUAUCUGACUGCAAUAAAGUUUAGGAAUUAAAUAUUAUUAAAAGAAAUAAAACAUUCAAUUAAUGAAACAAAACAUAUGCAGAAACAAAAAAAUUUAAAAGACAAAAGUUUUUACAUUGCCAGCAUGGUAUAUUACAUCAAGGUUAGUUGAAUAAAUGGAUUUUAUUGUAUCGAGACUGCUUUUCAAAAAGAUUUUGAUGAAGAGGUGACAAGAGGAGAAAACUAAUUCUAUGUAGGUACUAUCUAGCUUCUAUAGAUAUAAAGCUAAUAGCUUUAAAAAUUAAGGGGAUAUGCAAUAAUGCAAAAACUAUUGAAUGCUCACUACUGGAAGGGGAAUAAUUUUCAUACUUUUGGUUCACUUCAACUUGACUGCAAAGUUCGCCCCUUCAUACAACCAAAACUGAAGUACAAAAGCUGACAAAAGUAUGGGAUGGUGGCCAUUAAAUCAGGCAAGUAUUUGAAUACAACCCAAAAUGCAACCUCAAAUUAUUCAUCAUUUAUUGCUGAACAGCCCUGAAGCAAGCAAAUACCUGGUUAUAAGAUUAGGAGCAUAUAUGUCCAACAAUUUUAAACAAAGUGCUAAUUUCUUCAUUUUCAUUUGAUAUAAUGUUAGGCAUGCAAUGUACAUAUCAGUUUUGAUCAAUUAUGUAUGAGUUGAGUGUGAUGAAAUUUAAUUGUCUAUGAGAAUAUGUGUUCAAAUAUUUUGCAGAAAAAAUAAUAUGAUAUUUUAUGUCCUUUCCUGUUUUAUGUGCCCUGUUUGAUUAAAUUUUGAUGCCUCCACUAUUUGAAUUUAUUUACAAAAACUCUGAAAUUGGCAAGUUCCUCCGUGCAAAUGCUUCAUUUUAUAUACUUAAUAUAUGGGUAUAAAAGAAAGACCACAAGAAUCAGUCCUUGAUCCUAUUCUUUUCAACUUCUGUAUAUGUAGAAAUUUAUGCUGCUGCCCAUCUACUCUAAGAAUUACCAACUGGAUUUGACAACCAAAGCUCAGUACAUGAUCAGUACAAAAAAGGAGUAAAAUUUCUACAUUGCAGACCCAUUGAAAACCAAAUGUACUCUACCUCAGCAACAAAACUGGAUUCAUUUGCAAACUGGACAUCUCAGAAAUAAAGUCUGUAAUUCAUUUGCCUGCAGUAAUCUUUGAAGUUUUUAUAACUCAAACACUGAUAUUUUCUGAUUCAUGAUAAUCAUGCUUAUGCUAACUUUUCUUAAGUUGAAUUUUCAGCUACUCAGGAUAAUCCAUUCAAAGCUGAAAUUAUUGGAGAAGUUUCUCAUAUCUAAUUUUUCAAGAAUAAAAUUUGUGUGCUUGCUAGCGAAACUACCCAUUCCUUAGACUUGUGUUGACUGAAAGGGGCCUGAAAGAACAGAAUAAGGAGGGUCUCUGGGCUAAAGCCACAAACUGUCACAAAGUAUGUAAACCCAAUAAAUAAACUGCACCAAAAAUGUUUAUUCCACUUUUCCUGUACCAAGAUGACUCAACAGGUUGUUGUUAUUCCUUUAUACUAUAUUAAGAUAGGCCUUAGACUUGAAACUUUGUUGCUUGCCCACAAUAUAUUGUGCAUGGUUUCAGAUGCACAGUCACACUUUUUCAAAAUGAACUUUUUCAUUCAAGAAACAAAGUUUCCAGUGUGGGAUAGGAUGUUGAUUGUAGCUGACUUGAUGCACUUGAAAUAAAAUCAGAAGGGGUUGGGGAAGUUGGAACAGGUUGUAGAUGAGGCCCUUGUGAUACAACUAAAUUUGCACCCCGACUAAAUUCCUGUUGGGUGAGGGGCUAAUUCUUCAUCUAUACUGAUUCAAAGAAACAGAAUUUAUGAAUAAGCUUUUCAUUUCAAAAUUAUCAAUUUACCUGGCAGCCAACAUGAGUGGAGUGCAUCCAUCUUUGGUUCUGUGCUCUAAGUUUGAUUUGUGUGCAAGCAGAAGUUCAACAACAUCGUGGUGACCUUUCCAACAGGCACUUGUUAGAGGAAUAUCAUUAUUGCUUCCACUUGGGACAUUGACUUGGGCCUUACAUUUUAAAAGUUUUGUUGCAACACCUGUGUGCCCACCUAGUGCAGCAAACAUGAGUGGGGAAAAGCCUUCCUUGGUUCGAUGUUCUAUGUUGGCACCACGGCUAAGUAAGAGAUCUACCACUUCACUGUGUCCUUUCCAACAUGCAAAUGUUAAUGGACUGUCUUUGUUACUGUCUGA